CCCAAAUUCUUAUAGGAAUUUUUUCUACAGGAAUUCCUAUAGGAAUUUUUCCUAUAGGAAUUCCUAUAGAAAAAAUUCCUAUAGGAAUUUUU